UACGUAGGGGGCAAGCGUUGUCCGGAUUUAUUGGGCGUAAAGAGCUCGUAGGCGGUUUCGUAAGUCGAGUGUGAAAAAUCUGGGCUCAACCCAGUGGAGCACUCGAUACUGGGGUGACUGGAGUACGGUAGAGGAGUGUGGAAUUCCUGGUGUAGCGGUGAAAUGCGCAGAUAUCAGGAGGAACACCGACGGCGAAGGCAGCACUCUGGGCCGGUACUGACGCUGAGGAGCGAAAGCGUGGGGAGCAAACAGG
rnacentral:rRNA from 1 species